UAUGUAAAAUGACAUUUAAUAUGCUCAAUAUGAACGAAUUGAAAACGUGAAUUAAAAUAAAAAAUAAUAAUAAAAAAAGUCAAAUGUCCCACUCUCCUUAAUCCUGCAGCAUGUAGUGCGGUACUGUGUACAGCAAUUUCUUUUUUUAUUGUACAAUUUUUCCUAUAGAUUAUGUCAAAAGUGGUUAGUAUUCAUUCUUUACGUUUUCAAGGACUGAGAGCGACAAGUGCCAUUUUUAAAUUUUCUUUAUCUCCGUAGUUAUGGAGCCAUUAAAGAGAAAACUCAUGUUUUUGGAAUUGUGCGAACUGCUGGCACCUAAUAAUGUAAAUAUAAUAAUUAAAGACCGGAUUUUCAUGCAGCAAAAAUCUUCAACAUAGAAAAGUGUAAUAAAGGUUGAAGGAGUUACAAGCACAUUUCUCAAUGCCAAUGGGACAUUUUAAAGGAGGUGUUAAUGGGAGUAUCAAUAUUCGGUCUAUGAGCCACAUGAAUCCAGCAGUUUUUUAGGUCCAUGGGUGAGAAGAAUCUGCUGGUAUCACGGCGUCAGUAAUUGUGGAUUUUCUAUACAUGUCUAUUUCAAUUAGGUCAUUUAUUAUGGACAAUUUUAAAUCUAAACAACCAUCUUUAUUUAUUUCCAGUGUGAAAUUUAUACUAGUUUUAAGUAUUAAUUAUUGGAUUCUUUUAGAGCGCCUAGUUUUCAUUUCAUUUCAUGUACAUUAAAUAUCAACUACAUAGUGUUUCCAAAAAAAGGACAGAUUUAAUUAAUCGAUUUGAUUUGAAAAGAAUUUUUUCAAAGUUAUUCAUAAAUAUUUCAGCACA